GACAGUGAGUGAUUUUGAGACAUUUUGAAUAACAUUGAGUCAAAUUGAGCCACUCUCGUUACUCAGAAUUUCUCAAUCUUCACAAAGGACGUAACGAAUUUUGACACUGACAUUUCGAAUCUGACAGUGGCAGUUCGCACACCAUAAAAACAAUUUCGUGCGGAUUUUUUUCCGCGCCACAAUUAAAUCGACGGAACAAGUUACCUGGUUCUAGUAGGCAAUUCCGUUCCACGAUGGAUGACGUGGUAGGUUCCACCGGGAGAAGAACAGGACACGAUUUCUUUUCAGAUGGUUGGCCGGAACUGCCUUGCUGGAACCGACACGAAAGAGCUAGGUAUCGGCUACUGGUGGUCCGGAAUCGGAAACUGUCACCGCAGGAAGCUCUCACAGUUUCGUAGUCGAAGGUAACGGCUCCGUUGCCAGAUUUAUUUGCCAAACUUGACAUUAAAAUAGCUAAGCUCUCUUUUACUCUGUAGGAGAAUGAAAUUACCGAUAAAAGCCAUCGGGAAGAGUGACGGUUUUAGCAGGUAAUUAUGAUCAAGAUCGGCAAGGAAACGGAUAAGGAGAAGGCUAACCAUAAUUCGCAACCCGAGCUCGACGCGGAAAAAGCGGGCCAACGCCACCGACCGUACUCAAAACAAGUUGGACCAAUUUGACCUGGAGCUCUGGCGAAUAUGUUCAUUGAGGCGGAAGAAAACAAAAUGGUUAGAACAGCGCGAAGGUCAACGAUGGUCAUUGAGAAACAGAGACAAGCAUCAACGUCUUACAAUGUAAAUCACUCACUUUAAAAUAAAACUAAGUAUAAUUUAAUAAGAAUCAUUAAUCUUUUAAUGCAUAUCCCAAUUAAAAGCACCUUCUCUCGGGGCAAUAAUUUCCAGGUUCCGGAACACUACCAUAGCAACAAGCUUAUUGACCCAUGGUUCAUCCGAUAUGUAAUAUUCCUUGUAAUAUUCAGUCUUCAAUCGUACCGGUGACCAGCGUCGCGUUUCCUUGGCACAGCACCACAAGUGACCAGCCAUUGCCGGACGCCAAAGGUGAUCUCAUCUCGAUCGGGAUGAUUCGCCUUUUCGGGAAGUUCUUUUGAUCGAUCAUUUUGGCCAGACGUUGUGGGUAUUGACGGCGUGUUACGACGGUUGGCGAUUCGUUCGAUAAACAGCUUUGAGUUUGGCCAAGUUACAGAAGCCGUCCAAGACAGGUUCCAACCUUGAACUUAAAAUUUGGGCCGCUCUCCUUUGUUCCACCGGAAAGUUGCUAUUUCCAAAGCGCCUAGGAGAACUAUCAGUAGCCGCAAUGGGUGUAGCCCCCGGUAGGCCACAAUUUACUGCCAACUGGUCACCAGCAAUGUCGGAGCCAAAGUCGGAGCGGUUGAGUUUGCGGGAGCCAGCUUGCCACCAUGUUGAGAAACGCCUCGUGGCCGCAUUUGACGAUCUCGAGCCGCACCAUUCCUUGGAACUGCAUCAUCGUCGCCGGGUUAUCACUCCGGAAUGGUUUCGUCCACUGCGGAAUCAACUCAAAAUAGCGGAACUUGCGCAGCAUCUCGGCAGAUUUCGAGCUGAAAAAUAUGUCCUAACCAAACAUUUUUGUUAACACGCACAUCUGUCAAAAUGUACAUUCAAUCAUUCCGUAACCUGGUUUAAAAUCGUUCAGGAGAAAAAUUGAGUAACUUUGAGUAACAUUGAGUCAAUUUGAGAAUUUGAGUCACUCAGUUACUCACUGUCCUACCCCUUGAGCGGAACCCAAUCAGAUAAGCUGCUUAGAAAAUUUCGAAGCAAUUUUCGAAGCGGAAUUCGAAGCGGAAUGAACCCGUCUUGCGGAAAACGGUUUGAUUGGGCUGUUUUUCGAAUCGAACUUUUUUCGCUCAAGCGGAAUUCUAAACGGAAUUCAAACGGAAUGCGCUGAGUGGUUAUCAGUGUCCGGGAUUUGAAGCACAACAAUUAAGGUAUUUUAGUUAUGAAAUUCUGAUGAAAAAUGUUUAGAAAAGACAUAUUUUGCAUGAAUUCUCUUAAAAUUGAUUAUUUCAUCUACAUCCUGAUGAUAUUUCUACAUUUCCAACUUAUUACAUGAGAUUUUGCCAGCUAUAACAAAGAUGAUAUCGACGACACGACAAGCCACUCGGGUCCAAAAAGUGGGUACCAAAUCGGCUUACCCCUCCGUUUCCUCGGGAACUGGAAAUGUCAAAGUGGAAACGUCAAAAAAAAUUCAAAAAAAAUCUUGUAUUUGGCAGCACUGGCUAGGUGACGGCGAGAAAUGUCAUUUUGACAAAACAUUUUAUUAUUUUUUUCAAGAUUUUUUUCGUGAUCAGCCUUCUUCGGCCACCAGUUGCUAGACCUGGGAGAAAAGUUACUUCCUGCGGCCUCCGUAUGUACCGGGGCCACGUCCAGUACCGGCCAACCUACGAUAGUGUUCCAAUCACCGUUCAGCUCAGGAACGGACGUCGCCGUCUUUGACACGACGCCGCGGGGUAGCGUAGUGAAACGAGUUCUUUCCGCUCCGAUAUUAACGAGUUUCCAUGGUUGGCCAUGCAGGAGUACGAGAAUUUUCGGGGGAGCGCAAGUUCAGCUGUGAAGUUAAGCUGAUCAACAACCGCUACGUAGUCAUGGCGGCACAUUGAGUGGAUGGGGAAGUCGGAAGAAGGAGGAAAUGCUAUUCAGCGUAGUACAACAAAAUGACCAAGAUCGACUGCAUCGAGCAGGGCGGCGAGAAGAUUUGUGCUGAUCCACCGGUGGACGUGGAAUUGGAGGAGAAGAUCCCCCACCCGGAGUACAACGAACUGAGCAAGCUAAACGAAUUUUCGCUGUUACGGAUGGCUCGGGACGUCCUGUAAACUGCCGAUAUUUCUGCCGUGGCCGGACAUUGGAGUUCGGUGGCCGGUGACGUAAAUUUUGUAACCGGAUUCGGGCGCACGCUGAAGGGCAGCCGCAAUCCAAUUAAGCAGUGCCCACACCAACGAAACAGCUGUGCGCCGGCGGAGACCAAGGAUUCGUGAAACGGAGAUUCAGGUUGUCCGUUGAUGAAGCUGAAGAAGAUUUGGACGCAGGAGGGUGUGAUAUCUUACGGGAAUCACUGCGGCCUCGAGGAUUGUCCCCGGAUUUACUCGAGGGUGCUCGCGUACAUGGACUAAUUUAUUGUGGUCGUAAUGGCGAGUCUUGGUGGUGGUGUUGGAAUGGUCGUAGGAGUGCAACCUUUUGUUACAAACGGUAUUGUGUGACCUCCUAUGCUGCAGUUCAAAAAUAUUAAGCUAAGAAAAGUAGAUUUUAUAAAAGCUCAAACAAGUGAAGUUCAACAGUAAUGAUGAAAUUAUUGAGAAAACGAUUUACUUUUUUAUUUAUCUUCUACGACGCUCCCUUUAAUGAAGACUCAGAGCUCAUUAAAGUGAUUCUGACUUCUUCUGCCUCUACUACCACAUCCAGAUCAAAGGCGUCGUAGUGUCGUAGUCCCCGCAGGUAGGCCUUCUUGCCGUCCAGUGGCAUCAUGGUGUUGGUCUUGGUUGGUCACCCUGAUGUCACACAGUUGCUUGUCCGCGGCCUAGACGCCCAGCUUGUUCGGUUGGUCAUCAUCGAUGAAACGACGAUCCGUAACAUUAACCACAAAAAAAAGAUGUUCGCCUUGUUGAAUUGUCCUACACCCUCCCAAAUUACCAAGAUAUUGCGACGUUCCUGCGAGUGCGUUCCGGAACCGGUUUGACAACAGCUAUGCCUAACAUUUUGAACACCGAAAUCGUGCUCGGCACGAUUCAGAACGUUGCUGGAGCACUUCCGCGCCAAUCUUGUGCACACGACAGCCUUGCAUCUGGAGAGAAGCGGCCGCAUCAAAUACAACCGCAAAAGUGACCACUUCCAGAUCACCGAAGUUGGUCAAAUCGCCCCUGAGUGCUACUGCACGCACGACACCAUGCUUAACUGCAACCAGCUGCUGAAGACGACGCUCAGCUAGAUUGAACAUUUCCGCGUGUUUUCGCUGUCUGGUGAGUCUGGAGUCCGCGAGGAGGAGAAACUCGAGCUGCAGAAGCUGAUGGAGCGGGUACCCGUCUGCUGCGUGCCAUCUACAAGAUCGUCCUACAUCGCGGGUGGGCCCAGCUGGCGGACAAGUGUUCAAUACUGUGCAAAAUGAUCGAUCGGCGCAUGUGGCAGAGCAUGCCCCGUUACGCCAGUUGCUAGAAAAGAUCGAGAAGAAGAUAGAAAAAAAACUUCCCGUGGGAGCGGCUGUACGAUCUAGAAGCGGACAAGAUUGGUGAGUUAAUUCGCGUUGCUGAAGCUGGGCAAGACCAUCUACAAGUACGUGCAUUAGUUUCCAAAGUAAGAGCUGUCCAAAAGUUCGUCGGCGAAGGUGCGGUGCGAUUGGUGCGCGAACUCGCCCCAUUGAUCAUCUGUAUGGACGAGAUCGAUUCCAUCGCAAUUCACCGUCAAUCCAAAGGUUUCAUAAGCCGGAACCAAUCAAGGCGAAGUCGUUUCGAAUUUGGCUUGAGGUCUUCUGCAGGACAAUUCUUAUUUUUGCUACGGAAGUUGUAGCAGAAUUGGAUGACUUAAAAGAUCAAUAGGUAUUUCUGCCUUUGAUGAAAGCAUUACUGUGAGACCCGGCUUAGGACCCAGCACUAUCAUUGCCUUGGAAGAUGCAGGGUCAUUGCGAAGGUUCCAAAACCCGACACGGGAAGCUUAUUCCCCUCUGAUUGCAGUCCAAGAUUGAUCCACCAGUUCCUGUUCAAGCUGACGCGACCCAAGUUCUGGCAUGCCUAGUAACGCAUACUGGUGAGUUCACGUACGACCCGGAACAAAAGCAGACUGACAGACCUGGUGGUUCCGUCGGCACUAAGCCCUUUUCAAGCGGGAGGCGACCAAGCUAGAGAAUGCGGCCUUGGUACGGUUCCUGGUGAGGAAACCUAAUUUCCGGUGCUACGAGCAGCACCGGAACAUCAUCCUGCCCAAGCUUCCGUGCUACUUCAGUCUCACCGAAGCGAUUCACACCCUCAAGUGGAUCUUCGGCCCUCAAACGUCCGAAAACAGCCUGCUGCUGGAAAACCUCCAAGGCGGGUUUUUGUAAGCGUCUGUUUCAUUCCGGUCCACGACCACACAUCAACAACCAACACUUCCCAUAUCCCGUUCCGUUGGCCUCAGUCAAACCAACUUGGUUACCGUGGCCAAGCGUUAAUAUUCCGAUAUCCGUCUCGUACUGGUCUAGCCUAGACAUCUCCCUUUCGCUCGUUUCCAUCCAGUCCAGGUCAGUCGGAUUACGUCGUACCCGGCCAAUACCGCAAAGUGGCCACUCUUCCGCGAAGGCGCACUGAUCGUUCUCAAAAACAAUCAACAAAAAACAGCUGAUUCCAAUCCAACAUAAAUAUUUACAAGCAAGCAGUGUUGCGAAAAAAGUUUAUUUUACGCAAUAACGAGGGGUCCUUCAAUUUUACCGUGACUUUGGACAUUCACGGUUGUUUCACGGUUCACGGUGCGGAACACUUUUUGCGAAGGUUUUUCCACCGAGUGUCUUGUCGUGUCGUCGAUGAUAUGCUACUAAGUGUCCGGAUUUCGAAUCAUGACGUUAUAACCAUUUCAACCGGUAACUUUAUUUUUGAGUGAAGGAUUGUCAUCUUACGAUUUAUAAAACAACUUAAUUUAUAAAAAAAAGUGUUAUGGUUUUCUCGCUAAAUUAAAUUGCUCAGGCUAUGAUGGUUUCAGAACAUAAUACAAUGUAAUCAUAUUUUUUUUUAAAGUUAAGUCUUAUAACCACAGACAACAGACGUAGCAGCUAGAACAACAUAAUUUGAAAAUCGUGUGUAAAAACACUAACGCAAUCUCGUAGUCUAUUGCUACUUGCAAGAAUAAGCCUGAAUGUAGACUGCAGUGCACUACAGUCUCCGCAGGAGCCGUCUUCUGAUUCUCACCAACUUAAUUUUGAUGAUACAUAGUUUUCUUUUUAAAUAAAUUUAAUUUUAUGCUCUGAAAUUAACUAACUUUUAUCUGAAGCGAUACUCAAAAUAAUUACUUUCGACAUUUCAAAACUAUUUUUGAUCAACAUACCAAUUUUCUGGACGAAAAGAGGCAUCAAACUUUUGAUGAGAGUGAGAAUACGGCCAAUCACGUGCUUUUCAAUGUUGUAGUUUACACUUAAGAGCAGGGCGAGAGAGUUGUCAAAUCUCCUCUGCGACGACAGCGCCACAAAUGGCUUGCCAUUCUCAAUAAAACCGUUGCAUGUUUUUACACAGGGGGAUGCUAAAGGCCGCCAUCUUGGCUGGUUGAGAUUAAUAACGCGCGCAAACUGCACACAGUGAAAACAAAAGUAUUGUUUUAUUAAUAAUUCAUUAUUUGUUAUAAGAAUUGCUGUAGAAAAACUCAAAUUACACAGUAGUUAAAUAAAACGUUUCAUGUGAUAAAAGUACAACUUUAAAUUAGGUCAUUGGCCCGAUGUGUGCUUAAUAAUCUUAACUUUAGUAGUUUAUUUUGCAAAUAAAUUGAUAAAAAUCAC